AGAACGAACGCUGGCGGCAGGCUUAACACAUGCAAGUCGAACGGUUGUAGCAAUACAGCAGUGGCGCACGGGUGAGUAACGCGUGGGAACGUACCCUUCAGUCGGGAAUAACAGCGGGAAACUGCUGCUAAUACCCGAUAUUAUCUCCGGAUGAAAGAUUUAUCGCUGAAGGAUCGGCCCGCGUCAGAUUAGCUAGUUGGUGAGGUAACGGCUCACCAAGGCUCCGAUCUGUAGCUGGUCUGAGAGGACGACCAGCCACACUGGAACUGAGACACGGUCCAGACUCCUACGGGAGGCAGCAGUGGGGAAUAUUGGACAAUGGGCGAAAGCCUGAUCCAGCCAUGCCGCGUGAAUGAUGAAGGCCUUAGGGUUGUAAAGUUCUUUUGCCAGGGAAGAUAAUGACGGUACUGGAGAAUAAGCACGGCUAACUUCGUGCCAGCAGCCGC
rnacentral:rRNA from 1 species